rnacentral:rRNA from 1 species
CCUACGGGAGGCAGCAGUGAGGAAUAUUGGUCAAUGGCCAGAAGGCUGAACCAGCCAAGCCGCGUGAAGGACGAAGGUGCCAAGCAUUGUAAACUUCUUUUGUCAAGGGACAAAAUCAGGCUCGAGAGCCUGAGCGAGGGUACUUGAAGAAAAAGCAUCGGCUAACUCCGUGCCAGCAGCCGCGGUAAUACGGAGGUUGCGAUCGUUAUCCGGAUUGAUUGGGGUGAAGGGGUGCGGAGGCGGAAUGUUAAGUCAGCGGUAAAAUCCCGGGGCUAAACCCCGGCGAGCCGUUGAAACUGGCUGUCUUGAGAUGUCGAGAGGUAUGCGGAAUGCGGAGUGUAGCGGUGAAAUGCUUAGAGAUUGCGCAGAACUCCGAUUGCGAAGGCAGCAUACCGGCGGCGAUCUGACGCUGAGGCACGAAAGCGUGGGUAUCGAACAGGAUUAGAUACCCGAGUAGUC